GACGAACGCUGGCGGCGUGCCUAACACAUGCAAGUCGAGCGGGGUUACUGGGGUUCAGCUUGCUGAACGCCACUGACCCAGCGGCGGACGGGUGAGUAACGCGUGAGCAAUCUGCCUCAUACAGGGGGAUAACAGGCGGAAACGCCUGCUAAUACCGCAUAAGACCACGCCACCGCAUGGUGGAGUGGUCAAAGGGUGCACAGACGAGAGGCUGUGCAUACCGGUAUGAGAUGAGCUCGCGUCCCAUUAGCUUGUUGGUGAGGUAACGGCUCACCAAGGCGACGAUGGGUAGCCGACCUGAGAGGGUGAUCGGCCACACUGGGACUGAGACACGGCCCAGACUCCUACGGGAGGCAGCAGUGGGGAAUAUUGCGCAAUGGGGGGAACCCUGACGCAGCAACGCCGCGUGAGCGAAGAAGCCUUCGGGUCGUAAAGCUCUGUCAUAGGGGAAGAGGAGAAGACGGUACCCUAUGAGGAAGCCCCGGCUAACUACGUGCCAGCAGCCCGCGGUAAUACGUAGGGGGCGAGCGUUGUCCGGAAUUACUGGCGUAAAGGGUGCGUAGGCGGCCUGAUAAGUCAGAUGUGAAAUACCAGGGCUCACCCUGGGGGUGCAUUUGAAACUG
rnacentral:rRNA from 1 species